ACUUUCUCCACUCUUGAGAGCCUCCGUUGCAAUAGUAUGAGCAUAGAUGUUAUUAACUUUUGGAAUAAAAGAAAACUCAACCUUCUGGUAUCUGCGUUUCUUGCUCUGAAUAUCUCUGAUUAUUGCUCCUAUGACCGAUCUAUCAAUAAUAGAAUUUUGGCACUUCAUGAUAACCGUUUUUGAAUCUCCCAUAACUUCAAGUAUGUUGAAUCCCAGACUAAUACCUAGUUUUACUGCUUGUAAUCCUGCAUAUGCCUCUGCUGUAAAUGGGUCUUCUAUGUUGGAGUGAUGAACUGUCUGUGACGCUAGGAUUUCUCCUUCCCCAUUCCAUGCUAUUAGUCCCGAUGCCGAUCUGAACGUCUGACGGUCAAAAGCUGCGUCGAAAUGAACUGUUGCCCUUCCCCUUUUGAACACCUGGUGACACUUAUCCGAAGAGUGUAAAUUGAUUUCUAUUGAACCAAAUAAACCAGAGACCACAAUAGAAUAUUUGAAGUUGCUCAACAUUUCCUUGUCCAAAGAUUCCAGAUUUCUUCAUCAUCAUCAUCAAUAGACAGACCGGCGAAAUCUGACUCCAUGGACAAUUACGUGAGAAACAGAUUAAGAGAAUUAAUUCAGACCCUUUAGAUGGUAGCCGUCGAACCAAGAAACUUUUGAAAACCUAGACUUGCUAAGGAGGCAGACAGAAACGUGCUAGGGUAGCA